AGCUUUUGGCUCGGGUUAUA
rnacentral:miRNA from 1 species